rnacentral:lncRNA from 1 species
AAACCUCCCGCCCACCUUUUCUUUAGACCCGCGUCUCACCCCGGGCCGGAAGGGCUCCUGCGCAGGCGUUUGUAGCCACUUUUAAGUUUUAUCAGCUAGUUCAUGCUUGCGUUGAAAGAGUGGUCGUUUGCGCUGGGUCAUCACUGUGUAGUAUUGGGGAUACUUAGGUGAGAAAAAAACUUAACGCUAGAGACGUUCACGCACUAGUGGAGAAGCCAGGAUUGUUGCCCUAGAGUUACAGUAGAUAAAAGUACCUCAGAGAACUGCGGGGGCUCCCAACCUGGACGCUUGCACCGGAGUAUUAAAUCCAGCUAGAGAAUGGCAUGUGCAAAGAUACAGAGUUCUGUAAACCAGAAAUCUAAAAUCAGUCACUGGAGUAAAGUCAAGGUGUCAUUUGGAUUGGUUGCUUCCAGAGGCUCUGCAGGGAGAUUGUUUUUCUUGUCUUUUUCAGCUUUUAGAAGUUGCCUGCAUUCCUUGGCCCCUUCCUCACAUCAUUCCAACCAACUUCCAUCCUUACAAUCGAUUACUUUCCUGUAAUAGCUACAGUCAAAUGGGCAGCUGAAGAUGAUGAUGAUGAUGAUCUUGACACCGAGAAGCAGAAGACCAAUGAAGAUGACCAGACAGCAAAAAAGGAUAAGUUAAAAGAAGGUAAAAGAAGGCCACUCGUACUUGCUGUCUCAGUAUCUAAAGGUGGUCACCUUCCAGUAGAGAGGCCCACCCACUGCAGACCGUGCCACCGAAGGUGACAUGCACUUUCUGCCACCCAUCCAAAACCGUAACGUGAAUCUGCAACAGGAGAGGAAAGAAGAACCAAAACUUCCAAGGCCUUGCAUUUUUUCUUAAAAGCAUUUUUUUUUUUUUUUGGAGAUGGAGUCUCACUCUAUUGCCUGGAGUGCAGUGGCGUAAUUUCGGCUCACUGAAGCCUCUGCUUCCCGGGUUUAAGAAAUUCUCUGCCUCAGCCUCCCAAGUAGCUGGGAUUACAGGCACAUGCCACCACACCUGUCUAAUUUUUGUAUUUUUAGGAGAGACAGGGUUUCACCGUGUUGGCCAGGCUGGUCUUGAACUCCUGACCUCGUGAUCCACCUGCCUUGGCCUCCCAAAGUGCUGGGAUUACAGGCCUGAGCCACUGCACCUAGCCAAAAGCAUUUUUUAAAGAAAAAUUGGUCUAUAUUUUUUGUUUCUACUUUAUAUCUUUGUACAUAUUUUUAGAGUGCAGGCAUUUUUAAUAAUCUUGGAUGACCAAAGCAGCUUUCAGAAUGUUCUUUGCCCAACUUCUGACUUUACUUGUAGUGUGACCAUGUUCAUUAGAAUCUCAAAGGAGGAAGAAAAGAAAAAACAAACUUGUAAAAAAUGAAAAAUAGAUCUGGCGAGGUGAUUCACGGCUGUAAGCCCAGCACUUUGAGAGGCUAAGGCGGGUGGAUCACCUGAGGUCAGGAGUUCGAGACCAGCCUGGCCAACAUGGUGAAAUCCUAUCUCUACUAAAUAUACAAAAAUUAGCCAGGUGUGGUGGUGGGUGCCUGUAGUCCCAGCUACUCAGGAGGCUGAGGCAGGAGAAUCUGGAACCCCGGAGGCAGAGGUUGCAGUGAGCCGAGAUCGCACCAUUGCACUCCAGCCUGGGCGACAGAGUGAGACUAUCUGAAAAAAAGCAAAAAUAGGCCAGGCAUGGUGGCUCAUGCCUUGAUCCCAGCACUUUGGUAAGCCUAGGCAGGUGGAUCACUUGAGGUCAGGGGUUCGAGACCAGCUUAGCCAACAUGGUGAAAACCUGUCUCUACUGAAAAUACAAAAAUUAGCCAGGCGUGGUGGUGGGUACCUGUAAUCCCAGCUACGCGGGAGGCUGAGGCAUGAGAAUUGCUUGAACUCAGGAGGCGGAGGUUGCAGUGAGCAGCAGUCAUGCCAUUGCACUCCAGCCUGGUGACAGAGUAAGACUCUGUCUCAAAAAUAAAUAAAUGCAAAAACAACAAAUCUUAUUUUUUCAGCCUGUUCGAUGUAUGUGUGAAACAAUGUUGUCCAACAAUAAACGGGAAUCUUAUUUUUCUGAGGUUUUUUCCCCUA